rnacentral:lncRNA from 1 species
UUUGGGGAAAGGACUGCAGGAACGAAUGAAUGGCACAGGGGGAGGCACAUGGGCAGAGAGCAGGGCCUGCUGUGGUCUGAAUGGUCCCAAGUUCAUGAACUGGAAACUUGACCCCCAAAUCUACACGUUGCUGGUACAUGGAGGUGGGGCCUUUGGGACAUUGGGGUUAGAUGAGGUCAUGAGGCUGGUGCCUCAUGAUGGCAUUAGUGGCCUUAGGAGAAGAGGAAGAGACCUGAGCUAACACACCUAUGUCACCCUGUCCUGCCCUCUGCCGUGUUAUGAAGGAGCCAAAAGCCCUCACCAGAGGCUGAGCAGACGCCAGCAUCACACUCUUGGACAUCCCAGUCUUCGAAAUUAUGAAACAAAGAAACCUUUAUUCUUUAUAAAUUACCUGAUUCCAGGCAUUAAGUUAUAGCAGCAGAAAAUGGACUAAGAGAGAUAUAGACUGGGCAAUGGAACUGUGUGUGCAUGCAUGUGUGCAUGUGUAUACGUAUGUGUUCCCUGCGGGUCCCUGCAGGACUGCAUCCCUAGAGGGGGUUGAUCACAGAGUAGGGGUGGAAGCACACUUCCUAAGACACAUCAGGGGCCAGGCUAAGCCAUCCAGGCUCUGUCUUGUGAGCAGGCCUGGCCAGGGGAGUUCUCAGAAGGAAGUGGUGCACUUGGUAAGAUGUAGGGAGCAAGCUUGUUCUGCAUUGGAGGGAGAAGGGAGCCAGCCAUGGCAGUGUCCAGCAGCCUUCCCUCCAAGAGACCAGGUCAGCCUUCAGUGCGGUUCCAGAGCUCUGGAUAGGUAGAAAAACAGCUCCUAGAACUCCUGGCUCCUGCCCCGACCUGUCUGCAGGUGGGAGACUGGCCCUCCUGCAGGACUCGCCUCCCUCCUCGGUGUGCACGGGGGGAUCCUUCCUGCGUCUCCAUGUUCCACCUGCACUUGCUAAGAUUUGUACAGAGACCCCCAUCCAGGCGGACACCUGAAGAACUUGCAGUGCUUCCUGACCUCUGACUCCCUGGUUUUGAUACUGUUACAAAAUUAAAAUUUCAAAUAGUUUCAAUGGUAAACUAAUUUCAAUAUGCAUAGAAUUCCCAUCCUGGAUGAAUCCAGUUUUAAAGGGAUCUUCAUUUUCUGAAGUUUUAAGAAACAGAUGCUCCUGGUGGACUUGAGGCAUCCUUGGUUUCUUUCAGCAAGUAAAAACAGUAAUGGAGACAUUCCACAUCACAGCACCGCUUGAAUC